ensembl:lncRNA
AGAGCCGGGGGAAGCGGCGCUGCCGACCCAGUUCCUGCAGCCAGCUCCUCAGUCAUGCCGAAGCACGAGUUCUCCGUGGACAUGACCUGUGAAGGCUGCUCUAAUGCAGUCACUCGGGUCCUCAACAAGCUGGGAGGAGUUCAAUUUGACAUUGACCUGCCCAACAAGAAGGUCUGCGUCGACUCUGAGCACAGUGUGGACACUCUGCUGGAGACCCUGGGGAAAACAGGAAAGGCUGUUUCCUACCUCGGCCCCAAGUAGCGAGGGCCUGGGCCCCCAGCUUGCAGGAUGGACCAAAGUGGGCAGGAUGCUGAGCCAGCUCCUGCCUUCCAGACAGAUCUAGGACCUGACAAUCCUGCUCAGCGAUGGCAGUUCCUGCGGAGACCCUCACUUGCCCUGCUCUUCUGUAGCUUCCUUGCAAUAAAGUCAAGUCGAUUUUGCUGGAGAUAUUGUCUCUUGCCUGGCCUUGAUGUCACUUGCUUACGUGCUGUGCUGUGCUGCUCACAUGUUGCUCUGAAGGAGGUAACUGCAGUGCUUGCUCGGGUUGGAGUUCUAAGAGCUCCCAACUGGGUGGAAGAGGUACGAUGGAUUCCGAGUCUUUGCUGUGUGAGCUUUUACAAGUCACUUCCCCUCUCUGGGCCUCACUUUUCCUCAUCUAUAAGUGAAGGUGGGUGAUCCUCUUUCUUUUCACUACUUUCUUAGACUCCGUAUUGUGAAAAACUUUUGUCUGUCAAGCGAAUCACAUUUAAAGGAGGUAAAAUUGUAUGGCAGUUAGAAUAACGGGAAGAGGCAGCGAAGUCAGACUGCCUGGGAUAGAGUCCAAGCUCCAUACCUCCCAGCUGGGCCACGUAACCUCUUGGUGUCCGCAAGCAUAAAAUGUGGUAACAGCAUCUCCUGCAAAUGGUGGUUGUAGGGAUUAAAUGAGGCGACUCAUGUAAGUCGCCUAGAUAGUGCUUGUCAGUUAGUAAUCACUCAGUGAACAUUCUCUAUUCACGUACAUUUUUUGUGUGUAUCUAAUUAUCAAAGAUCUGUAGAAAUGGCAAUUAGAAUUCCAGUCAGCCUAAAAGUUAGUGCCUUACAGAGUUGAUGCAAUUAUAUCAAAACAAAGGGAAAUGUUUUAGUUUGUACAGCUUUACUUAUUUUUAAAAAAUAUUUCUUUAAGCCAGCAGCUCUCAAACUGUUUCAUCCCAGGACCCUUUUACACUCUUAAAAGUUACUGAGUAUCUUAAAGAGCUUAUGGUUGUGUGGGUUAUGCCAUAACAGAAAUUAAAACAGGAAUUUUUGGAACACAAGAAUACGCAAGCAUAUUUCCCAUUAGCCAUCAGGGUGAGAUGGGGUCAUUGCACAGCACUUAGAUUCUGGAAACUUCACUGCAUGAUUGUAAGAAAAAGAGAAAAAGGCAUCUUGUGUGAAUAGUUUUGACCUUGUGUUCUUUCUGAAAGGUCUUAGGGACCACACACUGAGAAUCACUGCUUUGACCAUCUACUGGGCAGUGACUGGGGACCAGCGCUGCUGGACCUGGGAUGAGACCCAGCUCUGCCUUUGGCGACCUGUGACCUUGGACCAGUCACCUCAUCUCUCCCAGAGGCAGUUUUCUCACCUGCACAACGUACCAUAUCUGUACCUCAGGGGCCUUACGUAAGAGUUGGCAAACUUUGCCAACUCUGAACUGUAUGCUAGCAUAAUUUGGGUCCCAUUUUGAGAGUAUUAAAACAAGUCUCAGCCAUUUCUGCCUUUGUGGUCCCUUGGGGGCACAGGGACUCUCCCUGCCCUCAUGGUAUCUAGGGUCCUUGGCCACAAGAUGGCAGUGUUCUUUGGCUCUGACCAUCCAUGGAGACACUGAAGACAGUUUCUGGGGGCGCUGGGAGUACAAACUUAAGUUUUUCCAUUUUCACAGCUUCCCAGGAGACCUGGUUCAGGCUGUCUGGCCCACUGGAAAUGCCCAAGGGUAAAGACACUGGUGUCUUGGGCCGAGUGGUCAUUGGAGGAGUUCCUUUCCUUUGGCUCUUCUCUUACCCCCCACCCGCCGCUGGAAUCCAGGUUUCCAGCUGAGGCCAAGGCCCCAAGCAGCUGGAGCAAAUGAGCUCACACAGCGGGGUGUGGCAGGGGGGAGCAGAUGUGUCCACCUGUCACCCAGGUGCUCUCCCCAGCACCUGAGCCCAGCCCACCUGCCCAGCGUUUCCAGCGCCCCCUGCAGCCAGCCGCACCUCCUGUGUCUCCCAGGUGCCUUGCGUUUGUUUAUGCUGCCCCGAAAUGGCAUGAUCUCUGCCUGCUUCCCCAGCCCCGCCUGUCUCCAUGUACAAAUUCCUUUUCUUCCCUUGCAUACCACAGCCUGCAUGAAACCUCUCCACAACUGGAAGUAAUUUAUUUCUCCUCUUGGCCCUCACAGCAUUUAUCCCACUAGCUUCGGGGCUGAGGCAAAGCUUUUCGUCCACGUGUCUUUCCUGUCCUCAAGGAUCAGGCCACGUAUCUAUUCCCUCAGCUCACAGAACAGGCACUGAGGGGGUAUUUGAUGGAUGUGUAAUGGCUGCCAUCUGGGGGGCAUUUAUUGUGUGUCCUGCCCUUGCGUUCAUGCCAUUCAUCUUCAUCUGGUCCCUGUAAGCCAGCGGACCAGGACAGACCUAGAAACGUGGUAGGUGUGCCGGAGGCGUUUGUUGAGUUAAUCUCACAGAGGUGGAGAUCACCUGGUCUGAUCCUUUCAGCAGGGUUAUGUUUUUGUCAAAGGUCCCUGGUGUGAGUACAGCAGCCUGGAGCCACCUCUGGGGCUCACUGUUCCCGGCUCCUUGGCCUCUGUCGACCACCCCACCCAGUGGCCAAAGCCUUACCGUGUCCAGUGCUGACAUUCCCAGGGCUGGAGAGAAGCCUCACAGCCCCCAUGAACUCGGGAGAGGGUCCAUCGCCCAUGACCGGGUGAGCUGCAGAGGGAUCCCGUCUGCUCUGAGUGAGCUUGAGCAAGUCAUCUCCUGUCCCUGCCUCCUGUUAAGGACAAGUUUUUGACUUUUAAGUGUUUUUGUUUUUAACAGCUUUAAUGAGGUAUCAUUUCAUUCAAUAAACUGUACACAAUUU